rnacentral:rRNA from 1 species
GAGUUUGAUCCUGGCUCAGAUUGAACGCUGGCGGCAUGCCUUACACAUGCAAGUCGAACGGCAGCAUGAUCUAGCUUGCUAGAUUGAUGGCGAGUGGCGAACGGGUGAGUAAUACAUCGGAACGUGCCCUGUAGUGGGGGAUAACUAGUCGAAAGAUUAGCUAAUACUGCAUACGACCUGAGGGUGAAAGUGGGGGACCGCAAGGCCUCAUGCUAUAGGAGCGGCCGAUGUCUGAUUAGCUAGUUGGUGGGGUAAAGGCCCACCAAGGCGACGAUCAGUAGCUGGUCUGAGAGGACGAUCAGCCACACUGGGACUGAGACACGGCCCAGACUCCUACGGGAGGCAGCAGUGGGGAAUUUUGGACAAUGGGCGAAAGCCUGAUCCAGCAAUGCCGCGUGUGUG